AUGCACACCAGACAUGUUCUCCAUAACAGAGAUGCCAUGACGGCUGGAUUCUACCAGCCAUUGCCUCCAACAACUUUUGUUGUAGAUAAGGCUCUUUCCCAUUGUGUACGGCUUGUACCUGUGGAGAUCCCUUACAAAAUCUGUGAUUGUUCACGAGAGUCACUAAGGGUCAGUCCAGGGAAGACUGUUGCUGUAAUCACAAUGAAUGGACGAUAUGAUCUAAGCAUGCCUGAGUUGAGUUGUGAGGCAUGCCAAGCCACGUGGGCUGCUGGAGUGGGUGAUCUAAAUCUGAGUGACUACUGGCCUGCAACCCUUCACUUUGCCACUAUUUAUGCCACAGAUGUCUUCUUCUCAUUUGAAGAAAUGAAGAUGGUUGCACCAGGACUGUCCUGCCAAGCAUUUUUGAGAAUGCUCGAUCAGCGAACUGUCCGCUUUGGUCGUGUGAGUAUUGAAUUUAUUUAUUCUACAGUAUUGUUAAUGUCUUUGUAUUGUGGGACGAAAAUCUUUUAGAUGCUAAUGUAUUUGUUGGUUUCCUUUAAUAGUGUGGCAAGAUCUCCAAAGACAGUUUUCAAAAAAGUUUUUUUGAGUGGGAGGCUGUGCGAUACGAGGUGGACAAAAUCUGUAAGGAAGAGCCCUUCAUCUGUCCUGCGUGCAGCCCAGACAUGCUGGCAGUUUCAGUCGAUGGAAACCGCAAGCAUUACCGUUUCAAGAAUGCAGCUAGGUAUUUAAAAUUGUGUAUAAUGUCACACUGUUGAAACAGUAUUAAUAAGAAAAAUAUCGUUUUAAUGUGCACCCAGUAAAAUUAGAUUACAAAGUAUCACAAGCUUGUGUACCUGUUAUGUAUUAUUAUUAUUAUUAUUUUUCUAGAUCUGAAGAAAAGGCCAUCUUUGAAGACGUCUUUAUAGCUAAGGAUGAAGAUGUGACAAGAUUUGUGGACUACAUUCACAAGACAUCCAAACAUGUAAAAAAAAAAGAAAAAAAAAAAGCAGACUAUUAGAAUAAAUACAGGGCUACAGUUACCUCCUACUGAAGAGUUUAUUUAGGAGAUUCUUAUUUUUAUCAACCAUUUUCCAUAUUGUAGGUGAGUGGACGAGGUGUUUGUGGAGGGGAGUGGUCAGCAGCCAGAGAGACCUCCCAGAGAUCUGCCAGCAAGGUAGACGAGGAGGGAUUGGAGCUUGCAGUGUGUCGACACGGAGUGCUCCUCCGUGCUUUAAAUAUGUACAGGGGUGAAAUUUUUGCCUAUCCCUUGUACCUGCAAGAAAAGCUGGCCAGGAGGCAAAUACAUUUUUUUUGUAUGGAUGUGACUUGCAAAUAUUGGCCCUACCUCCAAAGAGUUGCAAAAAGCUGUCCAGAGCUCCAGCACCUUCUUAACAUGAAGCCCUUCCUUUCAGUGUUCCAUGCCAAAGCCCAUGAUUUUAAAUGUGAGGUAGGUGAAGUUUGUGAUUACUAAAACUGAACAUCUGCAAAUACAUGUCAACACUUUCUCAGCAUUAUUAUUAUUAUUAUUAUUAUUAUUCCUAAUCAGGUGAAAUGGAGUGGGGCAUAUCAGGAUGGGGCUGGUUUAACCCUAGGUGAGGAGGUGGAACAGUGCAAUGCUAGGAUUGCAGUGACUACAAAACACAUGUCCAAAGCAGGUACAAUGACCACAUACUAUACCAGUUACAUUAUUACAUAAUAAGUAGGGGGAAUAUGGUAACAUGAUAUUCUCUGUUUGCAGGGCGCACAGACAUGCUGACUCUCAUGGCCAUGCGCUGGAAUCAGCAAAAGAUCUACACUUUGGCCAUCACACUGACCCGCCGAUAUCAGAAGGUAAUAACAUCAGUAGAAUUGGUUUUAGAUGUUCAAUAAUGUAUGUUAUUACUGUUUGAAGUUGUGCAUUAAACAUUUAGCUAUUGUUCUUGUACCAUCUGUGAUUGCUUGUAAUUGCAGACCACAAAAGCUCUGCAAAACCAGUUGCUAAACCUAGAGUCUUUAAAAGUUGAACUGGCAGUGACAGAGAGCCAGUUGGAAGACUGGCUCAACGAAGUAAAGGAGUGGGCAGAUAGUGAGUAAAUGACUUAUGUAUAUACAUAUGUAUGUGUGUGUAUGAAUGGUAUAAUGUUAUACUAAAACAAAAAUUAGAGCAAUGGAAAAACCCUUUAAAUAACCUCUAGAGAAAAAAAAUGCAUCUUUAGCACACAGAAUAACAUAAGAGGCUUUUGAGUGAUCAAUUACCACUUUGAACGAUUGCAUAAGAUUGCCACUUUUUAACGAUUGUAGCAUCUCUAAUUGCAAUUAGAAAAGUGAUUAAUUGUUUAGCCCCUAUAUUUUAUAUGACAAGCUACGCAAUUCAAGCUCAUAAUCACAGAUGCAUCGCAUGCAAUAGUGAAUGUGAUAUUGCAUAGCUUGUGAACUACUGCUCUGCGUAUUAAAUGCUGCUCCAUCUGAAAAUAGGUGAUAGAGAUUUAUUUCCAAUCACAGAACUGGCUUUACUGAUGAGAUGCGCAUGAGUAUCGCAUGCAAUAUAUCGUGCAGCCCUUAUAACAUAUAUGUGUAUAUAUAAUAUUGGUAACACAUUUAGUCAUGAAUAAUUGUUAUUGUAAUUUUGUGUAAAAAUCACACAUUUCUUCUCAGCAGCAGCAACAACAACCACAAAUGAUGCUGAUGCCUUGGCCAGCAGAAUUGAGGUACUUGUGGCGAGUAUCAAGAGACGUUCUCAGCGUCUCUAUAAAGAUACAGAUGGCAACAAAGGUCGUGCCAGGAUCCGCCGCAAAAUCAGGGAGGAGAAGGGGACCCUGACAUCAAUUGUUGAGAAAUACAACAGAAUGGUUCCAAACACAGAAACUCUGUGCUUGGAAACCAUUUUGUCUGGUGAGACAGCUUGGCCAUGGCAGCUACCACACAGUGGUAUGUUCACUAGUCUUCUGACAAUUAUACAUAUUUCAACCACGAUGCCUCAAAUGUCAAUCUGCAACCCCAUCUGAUUUUAAAUAUUAAAGAAGGUUGAUGUAUGACAAUUUUUUUUCGUGCAUUCCAGACUCUGUUAAUUUUAGGACAAAGAGAAAGGCAUUCGACAUCAUGAUGUCAUUAAGGAGACUUCAGGAGGAGCAGAAGAUUCUUGUUGCAGAGAUGAACAACCAUUGGAGAUAUCUUUCAACUCGUGCUGAUGCCCUCAGAGAACUGUCCUGCUGCUUUGCCAAGGAGACAAUAAAAAGUAUGUAUUUGUAAUAUAUGGCAUAUUUGUCAUAUACGGCAAAUAUAAGCAUAGGGUUGCCCCUGACCAAAGAUUUUUCUUUAAAAUGGACUCACAAAAAACUCAGAAACAUUUCCUUGUAGCAUAAGUGGCUGUAGCUGUAUGAGCUAUCGUUAUACUUUGCCUAAAUCUUUAUCCAAUUGGUAGCUGAACGUUGUCAAUCUUGCUUUUUUGGAGUUGUACUUGAAACUCUUUCAAUGGUCCAAAUUUAAAUUUAUUGCCCCACAUAUGUAAAUACUGUGUAAUAACUACAGGGUCCAGCCUUGUUAUUCAUAAUAUCUGCCUGUGAGUUUUAACAUGUCCUGUGGAAUAUGUGUGUUUGUUGUUUUUUUUGUUUGUUUGUUUUUUUUUUGUUUUUUUUUUUUGCAACGUAUAACCACUCCAAAUUAGACCAACUAUGACUUUUCUAACAGACUAACAUUUUAGGUUACUUUUAGGUGGCAGCCCAAAUAAGCAUACACAACAAUGAUGAGUGUUUAAUGAAAGUUUAUAAGGGAGGCUUAAUGGUUUUUUGUUGUUGUUGUUUUUCCAUUCUUUUAAGAUUCGCAAUGUGGCCUAACUGAAGAGGGUUUGAAAGGUCUGCAGUGCAUCAUCCACAGAAAGCAGCGUAAAAUCAGAGAUAUGAGGGUGCAAGCAAGAGACUGUUACCUGCAAGUUUUGACUGGAGCAGAGAACACCAACUUCUUUAACCAACUGUCAGCUGAUGACUACAACAGUGACUUCGACAUUUCUGAUGACGAACUGUAAUCCAGAAGACAAUGGGUUUUUUUUUUUUUUUUUUUGAUGGUGACCUUGACCUUAACCCUGAAUCUAAAGCAUGUAAUAAAAUCUGCUGUUGAUCACCUUAUAAAUAUACCCAAAGUGUACUGUCUGUUUUUUUCCACGUUACAUAGAAAUUAUUUUAUGCAUGCCUCUACAACCAGUCAGUGGUGAAAAUGAAGUGCAUUAUUGUAAGGCUAAGUACAGUACUGUACUAAAUUAUAGAUUUGAGGUACUUUCUCAUCAUGCCACUGUGUAGUUGGGCUAGGCUAUAGUUCACAGAAACUUUAUUUUGUUAUAAAUAAAACUACUCUUUUUGUGCUUACAAUGUAAGUACAGCCCAACUUAGAAACCAAACAUUCAGUUGAGUAAUGGAGAAAAUAAUUAGCAGACCAACCUUUAUUAAAAAUAUAAUUUGAUAAUGUUGUCUACAACGGGUUUUUAAUCUUUUAGGUGUUGCGGAGCUCCAAAUAUGAUCAUCAUUGUUUGAAGGACCCCCAUUCUUGUAAAUGUAAAAUAUAUUUAUAUGGUUUCUUCUAUAAAUACCCAAUUUACCAUGAAGAACGCAUAUUAUAAGCAAAGCAAAAAAAUUAAUUUGAAAAUUUGUUUCUAUUAAACUACAUUAUUAUUCUUUGUUUAAAGUAUUACAUGUAUUUAAAGAACUGUAUGUAUCUUUUUAAUCAAAAUUCUGAAAUUGUAAAAUAUUUUGUAUU
rnacentral:lncRNA from 1 species